GUGGAUGUAGCUCAGCUGGCAGAGCACCGGGUUGUGGUCCCGGGGGUCGCGGGUUCAAACCCCGUCAUCCACCCCA
rnacentral:tRNA from 1 species